rnacentral:rRNA from 1 species
AGAGUUUGAUCCUGGCUCAGAUUGAACGCUGGCGGCAUGCCUUACACAUGCAAGUCGAACGGUAACGGGCCUUCGGGUGCCGACGAGUGGCGAACGGGUGAGUAAUGCAUCGGAACGUACCUUUCAGUGGGGGAUAACGUAGCGAAAGUUACGCUAAUACCGCAUAUUCUGUGAGCAGGAAAGCAGGGGAUCGCAAGACCUUGCGCUGAUUGAGCGGCCGAUGUCAGAUUAGCUAGUUGGUGAGGUAAAGGCUCACCAAGGCGACGAUCUGUAGCGGGGUCUGAGAGGAUGAUCCGCCACACUGGAACUGAGACACGGUCCAGACUCCUACGGGAGGCAGCAGUGGGGAAUUUUGGACAAUGGGGGCAACCCUGAUCCAGCCAUGCCGCGUGAGUGAAGAAGGCCUUCGGGUUGUAAAGCUCUUUCGGCCGGGAAGAAAUCGCAUGGGUUAAUACCCUGUGCGGAUGACGGUACCGGCAUAAGAAGCACCGGCUAACUACGUG